rnacentral:rRNA from 1 species
UACGAAGGGGGCGAGCGUUGUUCGGAUUUAUUGGGCGUAAAGAGCGUGUAGGCGGCCAGGUAGGUCUGCUGUGAAAACUCGAGGCUCAACCUCGAGACGUCGGCGGAAACCAUCUGGCUAGAGUCCGGAAGAGGAGAGUGGAAUUCCUGGUGUAGCGGUGAAAUGCGCAGAUAUCAGGAAGAACACCCGUGGCGAAGGCGGCUCUCUGGGACGGUACUGACGCUGAGACGCGAAAGCGUGGGGAGCGAACAGG